CUAUAUGAAGUCGGAAUUGCUAGUAAUCGCGGAUCAGCAUGCCGCGGUGAAUACGUUCCCGGGCCUUGUACACACCGCCCGUCACACCAUGAGAGUCGAUAACACCCGAAGCCUGUAGUCUAACCAUAUGGGGGACGCAGUCGAAGGUGGGAUUGAUAAUUAGGGUGAAGUCGUAACAAGGUACC
rnacentral:rRNA from 1 species